UUGGUUAGAAAUCAACUCAGGUUGACGUCGUAAUGGCGUCAACAACCCGCCCCAGCCGAAUCUCGCCGACCAACGCGUGCGGGUCGUUUCGUGCGGAGCGGAGCCCGCCACGCCGGCAGCGGGCACCAAGCAGAUGCAGAGCAAUGCAAUCUGCGCGACCUCGACGGAGGUCGACGGGACAUAUAACAGUCAAC
rfam:Pseudomonas fuscovaginae strain IRRI 6609 Pf_IRRI_6609_contig_9.9, whole genome shotgun sequence.